rnacentral:lncRNA from 10 species
AGGACCUGAGAAUGGGAAGAUGCGUGCACCACAUCUGGGCAGGAUCCCUGAGGGGAUCCGAGUGACACACCCCCAAGUCUUCCACAGUCUACCCCUUUGCCACUUGGAUCCAUUUCUCCACACAUUGGGCAUGAGGAACUUCUGAGAUGCUACGAGCCUCCAGAUCAGAGCCCUACUCAGGAAACAGUAUCUGCAGAGGCCUCCGGCUUGAGAUGCCCAGCACCAAGACACCUGCCUCAAGAUGAGAGCGCUAGGAAUGCAUUUUGAGGCCCCGAGCAGAGCUGGAGCAUGCCUCAGAAGAUACUAUCAAAAUUGUAAACACAGCGAGGAGCUUAUUCUUGACCUCUCUUUAUGUGAGACUAGGUAAUCUUUAAAGGAAAUAUCCUUUCGAGGAAAUUACUUAAUCUAACAUGCCUUCAUUGCUAAUUAGUAUCCUUGGAUGAAAACGAAAAACCUUAAAAGGAAAACUUAUCAAGAAAAAGGGCUUCCCACACAGGUCUAGAACAGUGCUAGCCUAAUCUCCACAAAGCACAACUCUGUGGAAUUCCCAGCUUGUCCUGAAUCUACAACAGCCAAAGCAAGAAGGUUAUGGCCACCAAAGCUGAGACUUAAAAGUAAUAACAAGAACAGAAAACCUCAAGGAUGGAAGAAUGCUGGGAGGACCCAGGAGGCUUCACACAGGCUGAAAGCACCCUCUGCUGGGAAUAAGCAAGACAGCACCACCUAUGCAUCCUCUCCCAAUAGUUCGCCCACAACAUUCUGUGUUCACACAACAAAUACAUUCACCUCUCAAGCCACCCUUCCCUCUCAUCUGGGACCUGGGCCAGAAUUCUUUGUGCUUCUCAGCUAUAUUUUCAUUUUAUAGCCUGCAAAAUGCCAAAAUAGACACAUGUUUAAAAAUAAUGUAUUUGAAAACUAUGAUUUGGAAACACAUAUGUUUCUGGUAUUGAACUGACUUAAGUUUUGACUAUAAUUCAUUGGACAUUCUUUGCAUUGCAGCAUAACAAGAAAC